UCCUGGCUCAGAUUGAACGCUGGCGGAAUGCUUUACACAUGCAAGUCGAACGGUAGAGGGGGCAACCCUCGAGAGUGGCGAACGGGUGAGUAAUAUAUCGGAACGUGCCCAGUCGUGGGGGAUAACGUAGCGAAAGUUACGCUAAUACCGCAUACGAUCUACGGAUGAAAGCGGGGGAUCGCAAGACCUCGCGCGAUUGGAGCGGCCGAUGGCAGAUUAGGUAGUUGGUGGGAUAAAAGCUUACCAAGCCGACGAUCUGUAGCUGGUCUGAGAGGACGACCAGCCACACUGGGACUGAGACACGGCCCAGACUCCUACGGGAGGCAGCAGUGGGGAAUCUUAGACAAUGGGGGAAACCCUGAUCUAGCCAUGCCGCGUGAUCGAUGAAGGCCUUCGGGUUGUAAAGCUCUUUUGUCAGGGAAGAAACAGCAGCUCUAACACAGUCUGCGAAUGACGGUACCUGAAGAAUAAGCACCGGCUAACUACGUG
rnacentral:rRNA from 1 species